AUGGAGGCCGCUGCGAGGGACGCGCAGAGCGGGCUGGAGUGGCGGGUGACGGUGCCGGAGGGCGCGUCGGUGACGGUGGAGCACGAGGCCGGGCCGGCCGGGAGGGCCUGGGCGUGGCUGGUCGCCUGCGUGCUCAUGCUCGGGGCCACGGUGUCCGGCUUCGCCAAGAAGGUGUGGAAGAUUGGCGCCGACGAUCCGAGGAGAGUGGUGCACGGCCUCAAAGUCGGCGUUGCGCUUACCUUGGUCUCCGUCUUCUACUACACCAGGCCGCUCUACGACGGCGUCGGCGGGGCUUCCAUGUGGGCCAUCAUGACCGUCGUCGUCAUUUUCGAGUACACUGUUGGCGGCAGCGUGUACAAAGGGUUCAACCGGGCCGUGGCGACGGCGAGCGCCGGCGUGCUCGCGCUGGGCGUGAACUGGGUGGCGAGCAAGUCCGGCGACAAGCUCGAGCCGGUCAUCACCACUGGCUCCCUCUUUCUUCUUGCUGCGGCAGCCACCUUCUCGCGGUUCAUACCGACGGUGAAGGCCCGGUUCGACUACGGCGUGACCAUCUUCAUCCUGACAUACAGCCUGGUGGCCGUGUCGGGGUACCGCGUCGACGAGCUGGUGGAGCUGGCGCAGCAGCGGCUUGUCACCAUCGCCAUCGGCAUCUUCAUCUGCCUCGCCGUCUGCGUGCUCAUCUGGCCCGUGUGGGCCGGCCAGGAGCUGCACCAGCUCACGGUGCGCAACAUGGAGAAGCUCGCGGCCGCCGUGGAGGGCUGCGUCGAGGAAUACUUCGGCGAGGAGGAGGGCGCGCAGGCCAAGUCGGAGGGCUACAAGUGCGUGCUCAACUCCAAGGCGUCCGAGGACUCGCAGGCCAACCUGGCGCGGUGGGAGCCCGCGCACGGCAAGUUCGGCUUCCGCCACCCCUACGCCCAGUACACCAAGCUCGGCGCCGCCAUGCGCCACUGCGCCUACUGCGUGGAGACCCUCAAGAGCUGCGUCGGCGCCGAGCUCCAGGCCCCCGAGAGCGUGAAGCGGCUGCUCGCCGACGUGUGCACGAGGCUGGGUGCGCAGUGCGGGCGGGUGCUGAGGGAGGCGUCCAGCUCCGUGGCCACGAUGACGACCUCCCCGGCCCUGGACUUCGCCGUGGCAGACAUGAACACGGCCGUGCACGAGCUGCAGGGCGACAUGCGGGAGCUCCCGUUCACGCUGGCCGGGGAGCCGGAGGAGGCGUCGCUGAUCGACGCCAUGCCGCUCUUCACCGUGGCGUCGCUGCUGACGGAGAUAUCGACGAGGAUCGAGAGCGUGGUCGACGCCGUGGACACGAUGGCCAGCCUCGCCAGCUUCAAGCAGGCGGACGAUGAUGACGACAAAAAGGGAGACGCCGAGCUGAAAACGAAAGUACAUCCAUUGAACGAGACAGACUCCGAUGAGCCACCUGAAGAAAAGAAAACAACCAAACCUUCUGAGCAGGUUUAG
rnacentral:rRNA from 1 species